rnacentral:rRNA from 1 species
CAGCCGUAAACUAUGCGCGUUAGGUGUACUGGUGACCACGAGUCACCGGGGUGCCGAAGGGAAACCGUGAAACGUGCCGCCUGGGAAGUACGGUCGCAAGGCUGAAAUUUAAAGGAAUUGGCGGGGGAGCACCACAACGGGUGGAGCCUGCGGUUUAAUUGGACUCAACGCCGGAAAUCUCACCGGAUAGGACAGACAUAUGAUAGUCGGGCUGAAGACUCUACUUGAUGAUCUGAGAGGAGGUGCAUGGCGUCAGUGACU